rnacentral:rRNA from 1 species
ACGGAUAACAUACCGAAAGGUAUGCUAAUACAAGAUAAAAUACUUUUAUCGCAUGGUAGAAGUAUCAAAGCUUUUGCGGUACAGGAUGGACCCGCGUCUGAUUAGCUAGUUGGUAAGGUAACGGCUUACCAAGGCGACGAUCAGUAGCCGACCUGAGAGGGUGAUCGGCCACAUUGGAACUGAGACACGGUCCGAACUCCUACGGGAGGCAGCAGUGGGGAAUAUUGCACAAUGGGCGAAAGCCUGAUGCAGCAACGCCGCGUGAGCGAUGAAGGCCUUCGGGUCGUAAAGCUCUGUCCUCAAGGAAGAUAAUGACGGUACUUGAGGAGGAAGCCCCGGCUAACUACGUGCCAGCAGCCGCGGUAAUACGUAGGGGGCUAGCGUUAUCCGGAAUUACUGGGCGUAAAGGGUGCGUAGGUGGUUUCUUAAGUCAGAGGUGAAAGGCUACGGCUCAACCGUAGUAAGCCUUUGAAACUGGGGAACUUGAGUGCAGGAGAGGAGAGUGGAAUUCCUAGUGUAGCGGUGAAAUGCGUAGAUAUUAGGAGGAACACCAGUUGCGAAGGCGGCUCUCUGGACUGUAACUGACACUGAGGCACGAAAGCGUGGGGAGCAAACAGGAUUAGAUACCCUGGUAGUCCACGCCGUAAACG